rnacentral:snRNA from 2 species
AUCUUUGCGCUUGGGGCAAUGACGCAGCUAGUGAGGUUCUAACCGAGGCGCGUCUAUUGCUGGUUGAAAACUAUUUCCAAACCCCCUCUUCGGCCUGGGCUCUGCCUUGGCCGUCGAGAAUUUUUGGAAGGGCUCCCCUCGGGGUUUUGCC